AGUGAACGCUGGCGGUAGGCCUAACACAUGCAAGUCGAACGGCAGCACAGUAAGAGCUUGCUCUUACGGGUGGCGAGUGGCGGACGGGUGAGGAAUACAUCGGAAUCUACUUUUUCGUGGGGGAUAACGUAGGGAAACUUACGCUAAUACCGCAUACGACCUACGGGUGAAAGCAGGGGAUCUUCGGACCUUGCGCGAUUGAAUGAGCCGAUGUCGGAUUAGCUAGUUGGCGGGGUAAAGGCCCACCAAGGCGACGAUCCGUAGCUGGUCUGAGAGGAUGAUCAGCCACACUGGAACUGAGACACGGUCCAGACUCCUACGGGAGGCAGCAGUGGGGAAUAUUGGACAAUGGGCGCAAGCCUGAUCCAGCCAUACCGCGUGGGUAAAGAAGGCCUUCGGGCUGUAAAACCCUUUUGUUGGGAAAGAAAAGCAGCAGGUUAAUACCCCGCUGUUCUGACGGUACCCAAAGAAUAAGCACCGGCUAACUUCGUG
rnacentral:rRNA from 1 species